rnacentral:lncRNA from 1 species
GUCUUCCCACCCUCCUGUCACUUUAUAGGCAAGGAAAGGGACUCCUGGGGAAGGAGAAUGGCAACACAGGCUAGUGACAGCUCGUCAACCACCUCUGGGUUGCCUUGUUGUCUUGCCUGUUUCAUAGAUUUUUUUCUGGUUAAAAAUUAAAUGCUUUUCAUUUCAGAAUAUUUAGGAAAUACAGAGAAGCAUCAAGAAUAAAAUCAAGACGAUGUGAAAGACUGUCACAGAACAGAGACAAGCAACACCGAAGUGACCCUUCUGUUCCCUGAGCCCCUCGGCUGGGCUUGCCCUCUGACUCCCCCCUCCCCGCUCUGUGGCUGGUGGACAAGGCAUUCCCUCUGUCGCUUCUCCACGUUCAUGGACAGAAGACAAGCGGCUGCCUUUUUUGCUGCGUAUUUCUCGAAAUGCAGCUAUCAGUCUCAACAUGAUGCCAAUUCCACCUUGCCUCCAAAAAGCUCUGCUGUAAAUACUUCUGAAGUUCGGGUUUGAUCUCUUUUCUUUGCGGUUGAAACGGAUUUUCGGCAUUGCUGUGGAAAGAGAUGCGUGUCGUCCUCACGGAGCCGCUCGGUGACCGCGGCUGAGCCGCUUCGGAGCGGCUGCCGAGAGGACGGGUUCACGGGGCCCCCGGCGGCCGGAGGGGAGCGGGUCUCUGCGGCUUCGCUGUCCAAGAAACGGAAGCCCGUCUGUGGUUUUGGCUGUUUGCUCUCACAUGUUGCCAGGGAACACCUUUGGGAGACUCAGAGACACCGGGAGACUGGCGUUUCAAAUAUGUCUUUGUUCUGUCCUGCUCAAUCAACAAUUCCCUUGGAAAUCCAAUUCCAGAGCAAUGAAAUGUUAAAAACCUCUUCUACUUCGGGGCUGGCCGCGUGGCCGAGUGGUUGGGUUCGCGCGCUCCGCUGCAGGAGGCCCAGUGUUUCGUUGGUUCGAGUCCUGGGCGCGGACAUGGCACUGCUCAUCGAACCACACUGGGGCACCAUCCCACAUGCCACAACUAGGUGGACCCACAACGAAGAAUAUACAACUAUGUAACGGCGGGGGGCUUUGGGGAGAAAAAGGAA